AAUAGAUACCCCGGUAGUCCACGCUGUAAACGUUGGGCGCUAGGUGUGGGGGGCCUCUCCGGUUCUCUGUGCCGCAGCUAACGCAUUAAGCGCCCCGCCUGGGGAGUACGGCCGCAAGGCUAAAACUCAAGGGAAUUGACGGGGGCCCGCACAAGCGGCGGAGCAUGCGGAUUAAUUCGAUGCAACGCGAAGAACCUUACCUGGGCUUGACAUGGCCGCAAAACUGUCAGAGAUGGCAGGUCCUUCGGGGCGGGUCGACAGGUGGUGCAUGGCUGUCGUCAGCUCGUGUCGUGAGAUGUUGGGUUAAGUCCCGCAACGAGCGCAACCCUCGUUCCAUGUUGCCAGCGGGUUAUGCCGGGGACUCAUGGAAGACUGUCGGGGUCAACUCGGAGGAAGGUGGGGAUGACGUCAAGUCAUCAUGCCCCUUAUGUCCAGGGCUUCACGCAUGCUACAAUGGCCGGUACAAACCGUUGCGAGCCCGUGAGGGGAGCGAAUCGGAAAAAGCCGGUCUCAGUUCGGAUCGGGGUCUGCAACUCGACCCCGU
rnacentral:rRNA from 1 species